UAGGGAAUCUUCCGCAAUGGACGAAAGUCUGACGGAGCAACGCCGCGUGAGCGAAGAAGGCCUUCGGGUCGUAAAGCUCUGUUGUUAGGGAAGAACAAGUACGAGAGUAACUGCUCGUACCUUGACGGUACCUAACCAGAAAGCCACGGCUAACUACGUGCCAGCAGCCGCGGUAAUACGUAGGUGGCAAGCGUUGUCCGGAAUUAUUGGGCGUAAAGCGCGCGCAGGCGGUCCUUUAAGUCUGAUGUGAAAGCCCACGGCUCAACCGUGGAGGGUCAUUGGAAACUGGGGGACUUGAGUGCAGAAGAGGAGAGUGGAAUUCCACGUGUAGCGGUGAAAUGCGUAGAGAUGUGGAGGAACACCAGUGGCGAAGGCGACUCUCUGGUCUGUAACUGACGCUGAGGCGCGAAAAGCGUGGGGAGCAAACAGGAUUAGAUACCCUGGUAGUCCACGCCGUAAACGAUGAGUGCUAAGUGUUAGAGGGUUUCCGCCCUUUAGUG
rnacentral:rRNA from 1 species